rnacentral:tRNA from 1 species
UCCCUCUAUCCCCACCCCCAAA